AGUAGUGCUGCUAGCUAUCUCAAGUUGUUUUGUGCUCAAGCCUCUGUCUUGUAUGGUCCCCAGUUCAUGACAUCCAAUGUCCAUCAGCUGUUGCACUUGAGAGACUCAGUAGAGGACCUUGGGCCACUUUGGUGUCAUUCUUGUUUUUUCUUUGAAGACCUCAAUGGAGAUUUCCGAGAUUUAUUUCAUGGCACCCAAAAUAUUGAUGGACAGAUAUUACAUGGCAUCUCAGUCUUCCAGAAGCUACCAGAGUUGGCCUCAGACCU